GUCACACAGGACUGCUGGUAUUAAAGCCGGAGGAAGGUGGGACGACGUCAAGUCAGCAUGACCUUUAUAUCCAGGGCUACACACACGCCACAAUGGUCAGUACAAUGGGUUGCCAAGCCGCGAGGCGGAGCCAAUCCUAAAAAGCUGGCCUCAGUUCAGAUUGCAGUCUGAAACUCGACUGCAUGAAGUCGGAGUUGCUAGUAAACGCAGGUCAGCUAUACUGCGUUGAAUACGUUCCCGGGGCUU
rnacentral:rRNA from 1 species